rnacentral:rRNA from 1 species
GUAAGGAAUAUUGGUCAAUGGACGAAAGUCUGAACCAGCCAUGCCGCGUGAAGGAUGAAGGCCCUCUGGGUUGUAAACUUCUUUUAUCUGGGACGAAAAAAGGGUAUUCUUACUCACUUGACGGUACCAGAGGAAUAAGCACCGGCUAACUCCGUGCCAGCAGCCGCGGUAAUACGGAGGGUGCAAGCGUUAUCCGGAUUCACUGGGUUUAAAGGGUGCGUAGGUGGGUAUUUAAGUCAGUGGUGAAAUCUCCGAGCUUAACUCGGAAACUGCCAUUGAUACUAUUUACCUUGAAUGCCCUGGAGGUAAGCGGAAUAUGUCAUGUAGCGGUGAAAUGCUUAGAUAUGACAUAGAACACCAAUUGCGAAGGCAGCUUACUACGGGGUGAUUGACACUGAGGCACGAAAGCGUGGGGAGCAAACAGGAUUAGAUACCCGGGUAGUCC